UAGGCCCUCUCUUCUCCAGUGUAGCUCAGUGCUGCCCUUCGAGUUGCCUUCUAAGCUGUUUUCACUCAUCUCCUCUCUGGAAGAGUGUGAGGACAGCAUAGUUCUUUCAAGGGUAGUGGAGAAUGGAUGGAGUGUGUGUGUACCACAUGCAUUAUAUUCUUCAGGGGAAAAUAGGAAGUUUCUUAUUUUGCCUACAAGAUUUUGCAUAUAAUGAUUCUCCUGGCUAAUCUGAAAGAUCCCUUUUGUGAAGCUUCUCACCUGCCUCAGUAGAGCAUUGUUAGGUCUCGUCUUCACGGGGUCUUUGCUCACCUGUUCUCUGCUGCACAGGAAGGGUAGCAGACUUGUCUUCCUUCCUUAGGGACCCCCAGAGCACAGGUGCCGAGCAGUGACUCCAUGAUUGCUCCCUUCAGUCAGCGUGCUGACUUUUCAAGGCACCAUAGACUGCAGUACCCUGGAGAGUUAGACCAUGCAGGCUUUUGUUUUUCAUACGAGAAAACUUUCUGCUGAGAUGGCACUGGAAUGGGGACCAGGAGCGAGGCUCGCAGUAACCUUGUUUUGACUUCUUUUGAAUGGAAAGUGCUAGGAUUUUAUCACAAAGUCCUUAUUGAAUAUUGCUGAGUAACUAGUGAACCGGUCUCCUGAUUUUCUUUUCUCUCAAAGGCUGUGGGUGCUCAGGUCCUAUUGCAUCCCCAGGUUGGCUCUGACCUCACUCCAAGAGCCUCUUGGAAUAGCUAUUUGGUCCCCAGACAGGUUUUGUAUAUAGCUCUUGCCCUCCGAGGCUUUGUCUUGUGGUUGCAUUCUCCUGAGCUUGAUGUAGGUGCUGGAAGCCAUGCUGAAAGCUUUCACACACAUCAUUCCCUUAUUACAAUUGCUCUGCAGAAAUGUGGGAAGAUAUUGAGGCAUGAUGGCUCCCAGCACUAGACGGGCAGAGGCAGGUUGAUGUCUGUGAGUUUGAGGUCAGCAAGGCUAAAUAGAGAGACCACGUCUCAAAAUUAACCACAAACAAAAAUAAAUUAAAAAGUAGGAAGACUUUAUUGCAAGAAAUUUUCAUCAUAGAAAAGUUGCAUUUAAAUUUACCUAAUUUUUGAAUGUACAGCAUUCUUAAAUAGUCACAAGUGUAAGCAUUGGAAAGUCUCUGGCCAGGCUUUGUGCCUCUUGUGCUGUGAGAUCUUACAACUGUUUUGAGGCCUACUUUAGCAGAGGCAUGCGUCAUCAAAUAUAAAUAUGUAAUUCUGCAUUUCCAUCUUUAGCAGAUAAUAAGUUCUACUUAGAUGCCCCUAUUAUUACUACCCAUUGUUCAUCUGGCACCAUAAGGGCAGCCCUGGUUGGUCGGUCACUUGUUUAUCUCCAUGUUCUUAAGGGCGCCUUCUUGGUACACUUCACUGUCCUCGGUCUUCUGUUCAGGUGGCUACCCCUGGCACUAAGAGUUCCCAUCCUCUGCUCUUGACCCCUUUGAGCAGCAGGGUGAUUAUUAAACUAUACUGAAGUCAUUGUGGCUCCUCUAGUAAACAGCAAUGCUCCAAAACAUUUUGUUUUGCAUAUGUGCAUUUCCGUAUGAAUAAAUUCCAUAAAGUGCAGUUGCAAGACCAAAGGUAUGUUUUUGUAAUUACUGCAAAGCUACCUUUGUAGUACUGUACUAAAUCUAUAUGCCAGUACCCAUUAGAAUGCACAAGAGCUGCUUUUUAGCAAACUUGUUGACAUUGCUCUUCCUCAGAUUGCUGGGUCUUGUGAAGGUUUGGUGAAAAUUAUCCUCAUAGUAUCUAGUGGGGUAUGAAAAGUGUGUGCUUGUAAAACCAGUACUUGGGACGCAGACAGCUGGACUAUCUAGGAAGACCGUCUCAAGCAACAUUUCAAAAGCAAUGUUUAGAUUCAGUGUGAAAUUACAGUUCUAUGAGUUUGUUCUCUCCCAGCUUCCCCGUUUUCUAAGUUGUUGCUCUUUUUCAGGAGCUCUUUGUAGAUAGAGAGGAGCAAUGUUGUGUGGUGUGUGUGGGGUGGUGGUGGUGGUGAUGUGUGUGUGUGUGUGUGUGUGUGUGUGUGUGUGUGUGAUGUCUUUUUGUUAUCCCUAAGGAAUGUUUAAAACCAGAGAUGGCACCAAAAUCUAUAUGUAAUACAUUUUCUCUAUGCAACAUUCAUAUGAUAAAGUUUAAUGUAUAAAGUAUGCACAAUAAGAGAUUAACAGUAUGUAGUAAUAAAAUAUAAGCAUUUAAACAGUGUACUAUAAUAGUUAUAAAUAUGAUUUACUCUUAUGAGAUGAUGCAGUGUCUGUUGAUGAGAUUAAUUUGCCACAGGUAUGGAUGUGGCCUUGACAAGUGAAAUAAUGUCCUUAUCAAGGGGCUGCUGAUAUGUUGAGGUUGUGUUUGGAGCAGAAAUAUGACUUCUACACUAACAUUUUCAUGGCAGAGCAGAAUGACCAGAUGGAUUGGAUUCAUUAACCAGUCUGUCAUUAAUGGGACUUUAAAUUCCAACUUUUCUUUUUACAAGUAUUUUUUUCCCCACUCCUGGGAUGAAACACUAGUGAAAGCAUUCCAUAAACAAUAUGGCUGUCACCACACUUUUUCAUUUGGUUGGCUGACUAUCUGCCAGUGUUCUGGGGUUUUGUUGUUUGUUUGUUGCUUGUUGUUUUUGAGAUCUCAUGCAGUCCUCUCUCUGUACUCUGUGCCUGACUUUAUUGUAUGACCUCAGAUUUCAUUGCCACACAGUACCCAGGCAUGUCUGUCCCUCUGUGCCCUGGUGCUUCCUUUGCAUGUUUGUGAGACUCUUUGGGCAUCUUCCUCACAGUCCAGUUUCAGUGCAGUUCUGACAGCCAACUUCUAGAGCUUUGUUUGCAGUGUGUUAGCAGCUUCUUUGGUAGACCAGGUUUCUCUAGUAAUCUUUAUAGCUUUCCAUCUAACCAUACUCCUGAAUCUACACAUUUUUCCUUCUUUUUAGGAGGGUUUUCUUAUGAGAUCUAUAUAGUUCAGUGUUUUCUAGUAUAACACAGUGCUAUUAUUUGUAACAUCAACACAUUAAUUAGGCCUUUUCAAUAUUAACCAAACACUUAUCACACAUAUUACACACUGUGACCAUUGCUUUUAUAGGGCGAGGUAGGACAGCAAAACUAGCAUCUAGUUAUCCAUACAAGAAACACUAAACAAAGUUGUGUGCAUGUGCACAGAUGUGUGCUUAGGGUUGAAAAGAAGGGAGAAAUUAUGUAGUUACAUUGUAAUU
rnacentral:lncRNA from 1 species